rnacentral:lncRNA from 1 species
AUUUUUAAUAUUAAAGAUUAGUUCAAGUCCGAAGAUAUAACAAAACAAAUGUUGGUCAAGAAUGAUGCUCAGAGCAAAAUCUUAUUCCAAUCAGCAGUAGUCUGAGACAACUAAUCAGCAGCAAUCUGGGGGCCAAUCCAACAGGCAUAUCAUCAGCAGCAAUCUUAUUGCAAUUAGCAGCAGUCUGAGAACAGUAAGAUAAAAAUUAGAUUGCCCAAGCGAGAAUAGAAACACGGGAGAGUAAAAGUAAAUAGUUUGUCAUGCACCUAUAGCCGAUCAAUAGAGCAACAAGUUUGACAACAUCGAAAACAAAUCUGCAGUAAAAAAGUAGAGUUAGUAAAUCUCAUGAAGUUUGGUCAGGAAUAAAACAAAAAAUUUAUAAGAAUGCAAGUUUAGGAGCAAAGAACUACUCAGCUUGCCUUGCAACUGGAGGUGAAGAGUAGAGUAUCCAAUGCGAAUACUACAGAAAUAAUACGCCGGAAAUAAAUCUGCAGGGAAAAAAUUGGGGAAGUAAAUUACCGAGAGGACAAAAAGUAAACAGAUCGACUUCUCUUUAAAAUGAAAGAAGGGGAAAAAAUAAAUGGAUAUUCAUUUCGGAUCCGGAACAAAAGCUCGCCACUUAAACUAAGCUGGGAAUUAGCAAUUCUGACAGCAAACCACAUUUUGCAAUGAAAUAAAUUAAAAAUUAAGCUGUGAAUCCUUUUUUAGAUUUCGAGUUGAAGUGAUGCGGCCAAUAAACAUUAAAAAGCAUGCCGAUGAAAUAAAUUAAAAAUUUAGGAAUUUUAUUCUAAACAAAGCUUAUGGAGUCUAUGCAGACUUUUCACCAAAUAUUAAUUUGCAUGUACAAAAAGGAAUUUUCUAGCAAGAAACUAUACCUCAAUCAAGAAUAAUUGUAUGUUACUUCAUUCUAAGAAGAUAAAGAAGAUAUCCCUAAAAAUGCUAUAAAUUAGUCGACCAGCCGAUCCAUUUCCUUGAACUUCAUUUUUUCCAAAUUAUUUUUAUCUAUUCUCUGGUCAACUAUUGAUGCAAAUGGUAUGAAAAUAUGAUUUUUAAAUACAAUAAAGGUGCAACUUUGUUUGCCAAGGAAGAACCGUCAGAGCAAGGAAUAAAAAUACAAUUAAAAAAUAACAAAAAACAUAGCACCAUAGAGGACGGAAUAAUUAGUAAACUAACACAACAAUGCAUGCAAGGCUCGAGCUCUGUAUUUGCAAGAAAUGAGUAAAAUUUACCUAUCCACCAGACAGAAAUACCCAUAGACUUGAAGAAGGUAGGGGUGUAUCAAUCAGCAUGAUAAUCCAUUUAUGAGGUUACAGAUAGCAUGAGAAAAUGAAAGUAUUUUAGUUCUCAUUUCCAAGAUAUCAGGCUAAACUGAAACUUCAUAUUAUACUUAAAUUGAAACUGCAAAAAAAUAAGUGGUAGGUUUUUGUAAAUUUGACAAUCUUAAUUCGACCGAGAUAAAAGUUGUGCAUUUCGCUUUAUUGGAGGGUGAAAAUUGCAAUAAGUAUUAAUUCAGAGAUGUAGUCACGAAUAAUUUGAGACGGUCAAGGAAACUUACAAAGAGGCUGUAUGCACUUGCACAUUAGAGGAAGAAGGAACAUCCCAUAACCUCAAAUUGAUGACGGUUAGAUAUAUGCGAGGAUAAAAAGCAUAAAACUCUUCAUUGACAUUCCACAUUACUUAAAAUCUAACAUAUCAAACUUGCCAUCCCAACCAACGGCAGCAAGUAUUAUGAUCUAAACACGACCAAUUAUCUAAUCACUCAUAAAGGAAACAAAUGAAAACAUAUCAAAGCAAGAAAAUAUAAUCAUCUAAAUAGUAAAAAUUUACUCAAACUUGCAUCAAUCAUAAUCAAUCGUAAGGUCGCCGAAAAUAAAGUUAGAACCAAAACGAACAUAUCAAAGUAAGAAAAAAUAAUCAUCUAAACAGUAAAAAUUUACUCAAACUUGCAUCAAUCAUAAUCAAUCCUAAGGUCGCCAAAAAUAAAGUUAGAACCAAAACGAUAAAAGGAGAAUAACAUUCAAAAAGCGGAAUCGUAGUUAGAUAUGCUAAUUAUCAAUUCCGGAGUGGUAGAACUUUAGCCCGUGUCAGUACAGGUAGUUGUUGAGCAAGGUGAAAUCGUAGACAUUGAGCACAAUGGAGAACCCUUUCGACGACCGCGUUGAAAGGGUUCUUCCGAAGAGGAGAUCUAGGGUUUCAUUGAGCACAAUGGAAAAUCCUUUCGACGACUGCGUCGAAAGCGUCAAAAGGUUCUUCCCAAGAAGAGAUCUAGGGUUUCUCAUAACAGGGUUGGGAAGUGAAGCAUGAGAUCGGCGGUGAACGAAGCAGGAACGGAGCAAGGUCAGACAAAAGAGGAGCAAGGAGAGAGAGAACCGGGCGAGUGCAUUCACAGCUAGUAAUGAAAAGAUUGGCGGUCGGUGCGCCGCUGCGAGGACGGCCGCUAAGGAAGCAAGUACGCCCUUAGCGGCGCGUAGGAGGCGGAGGUGUACGGGAGAGGAGAGGUGCUCAGCGGCGCGUAGGGGGCGUAGGCGUCCGGAAGAGGUGGGCCCACCUCCGAAAUUAAGGAGAAGAGAGUAAGGGAGAGUAGGGUGCGGAGAAGAAUAGGGCCCAACAUCUCAGAGAGAGAAAAGGAGAGAGGGUAAGAGAGAGUAGGGUGCGGGAGGUCCGAAAUCACGGAGAACGCAGGAAAGGGGUUAAGGGAGAGACCCGAAAUCACGGAGAACGCAGCAAAGGGGUUAAGGGUUCACCCUUUAAUGAUAUUGGAUAGAAUUGGAUAGAUAAGGCCCCAAUCCCAACACCCACGCUCCUCCCCCACCAUGACCGCCAUGUGGCAUUUUUUUUUAGGAAAAACUUCAAAAACCUCCCUGUGGUUUCACACUUUUUCAUUUUAGUACUCUGUGGUUUAAAGUGUAUCAAAUUAGUAUUAUAUGGUUUUAUUUUUGUAUCAAGUUAGUACCCUGUGGUUUUAUUUUUGUAUCAAGUUAGUACAUUGUGGUUUUUAAACCACAGGGUACUAAAGUGAUAACGUGCGAAACCACAGGGUACUAAAGUGAUAAAGUGCGAAACCACAUGGUACUAACUUGAUACACUUUAAACCACAGGGUACUAAAGUGAAAAAGUGCAAAACCACAUGGUACACACUUUAAACCGCAUGAUACUAAAGUGAGAAAAAGUGAACCCACAAGGGGGUUAUUUGAAGUUUUCCCUUUUUUUAAUAUGACAGGAUCUCAUAUGAUUUUGUACUUUCUCACUUUAGUACCUUGUGGUUUAAAGUGUAUCAAUUUAGUACUUUGUGGUUUUAUUUUUUUUAAUUAUUCAUUCCAUUAACUUUUUUGUUAAAUGAGCGACAAAGUUAAAAUUAAAUGGUACUAAAGUGAAUAUUCGAUAAACCUAAGUGGAGUAUUUGAAGUUUUUUGUAUAUAAUUUAACGAAAUAUUAAUGAAGGAGCUAACAAAAAGAGAAAAUGAAACCAUAGGAUACUAACUUGAUACACUUUAAAACACAGGGUACUAAAGUGAGAAAGUGCGAAACCACAUGAGUGGUAUUUGAAGUUUGCCCUUUUUAAUAAAUUAUAGAUUAUAUAUGAGUAUAUCUUAUAUACUCAGUGUACAACUUUUUUUACACCAUAUAAAAUAUUAAUUUUGUUAUAUCGACUAUUAAAAAAUAGGGUUGGUCCAGGCCGUGCUGGGCCUGGCCGAUCGCUAAAAGGUUUUAUUUUUUAUUUUUUAAAAAAUAUAUAUAAUUUAAAAUAUAAACAAAAAAUUAUUUUUAUUUAAAAAUUUUUAAUUUUUAAUUUUUUUGAAAUAAAAUUGAAGUGUUUUUGAUCCAAUGGACCAAAAACCUCCUCCCAAGGGAUGCUGUGGCAGACCUUGGGAGGAGAUCUCCUGCGGCCCUUUUCCCAAGACGAUUCGGGUCUGUGAGGACUGAGAAUUUUGUUGUGUAGCUAAACUUUUUGUUGACAAUAUUUUUAUGUGUAAUUUAAUUACAUAAGCACUCGUCAAGUUUCAGGAAAAAACGAGGUAGAAUGGAGAAGUUACGCGACCUUUACUAAUCACUUAGGGUGUGUUUGGUUCGAAGUCGGAAUCGAAGUCGGAAACGGAAUGGGAAUAAGCUGGAAUCGGAAUCGGAAUGACUCAUUACCUCAUUCUGUUUGGUUCGCCACCUAAAUCUGAAUCGAAAUGAAUCAUUCCCAUUGUUGGUGUUUGGUUCAAGUAGUUAUCAGAACGGAAUCAAAUUAAUAUACCAAUUUUACCCUUUUAAUAUAUUUUAAUUAUUUGUAACUAGUUUGAAUACUCGAUUUAAAAUAUAAAAAAAAACCAUGCUUAUAAGUUUUUUUUUUGAGAAGGACAAAAAAAAAAGCAUGACCUCAUAAUUACUAGUGUUCAUUCAUCCUUUCCUUCUUCUUACUCUUUUUUUUUUAUUUUUUUGAGAAAGUCCAAAGUCCAUGUGAUUUUUGAGAAUAAAAGAAAAAAAAAAAGAGAGUGAUUCGAGAGCAAAGUUGGCGGGGGAGGGGGGGAGGGAAUUACUUACGGGAUGAAGCUUGGGGAGCGGCGCGAGGAGAGUUGAGCGGCGCGGGAGAGGCGAGGGUUUUCUUUUUUUUUUUUUUUUUUAAAGUCUAAUGGAUGUAGGUUAUUUUAGUAAUAAAAUAAUUAAGUCGGGAUUCAAUUUUCAAUCCGGGGUACGAGGCCGGAUUCGUUUCUACCCGGAUUAGCCGAUUCCCAUUUCGGAAUGGAAACGGAAUCGGAAUGAGAUACGGCAUACCAAACAUCUAGAAUCGGAAUGGAUCAUUCCGAUUCCGAUUCCGGAGCUAAUAUUUAGCGAACCAAACACGCCCUUAAAGUGAAUAGUAACUCGGUUUUUUCUAAGAGACCAGUGAGUAGUGAUGGCUUAUGGUGCGUAUUGGACUCUGUUUAUAGUUAUCCAAUAGCUCGUUUUCAACGGUUCGACUAUCCUGGACCCAAUGGCACUGACGGAUUUGAGACGAUUUUCAAGAAAAAGAGAUUUUAUCGCAAAGAGAAUUUUGGAGAAUCGGAGAAAGGAUGGCUUUCGUCGCGAAUCGGCAACCUAAUCAAAUGAAACAAAAUUGUGGGUUUGAUGUCUCGAUCGUGCUGAACGUGCCGGCACAACCCAUUCGAAAAUCCGACGGACGGAUCUCCUAAUAUCGCAUGAGGAUCGAGGAGGGAUAAUAUAUGGCAAAACGAAAAUUUUGCGAAAAGCCCUUCAUUUUAUAUACCAAUUUGUGUGAAAUCGAAUAUAGGGGUACAUUAGCGCGUUUUACUCGCGCUGUGAAGGACUCAGAUUAAAAUAUCUAAAUUUUGGGGACUUUUGUGCAAAAUGAAAUGUUGUAUAUAUAGGCCAUAUAGGGUUUGCAUGGUGCAAACCCUAACCCUAGCCUUCUUCCUCCCUGAGCUAAGCCCCCAGUCGCCUCACCACCCGCCCCUGCCCUUAUUGCGCGCACCCCGGCUGCUGGCGCGCGCCUUCGACCACCGGAAAGCCAUAUUCUCUCUCCCUCAACCUCACAUUGCUUUUCUUGGCUCUCCAUCCCUGCCGAGCACAAGUGGAGGGUCCAUCUCCCUCCGGCCCCUCACCAGUGCCUCCUUCGGGCCUCCGGCGACCCUCCCUGUCUACUGCCGCCGCCUCCGGGCCCAGCCACCGCACUGCAGCAACCCCGCGGCCAUCGUGGGUGAGCUCGGGCCGAGGAGACAAUGCGGCUCAUUCCCCGCGCUGCUUCCACUCGGGACUGCCCCCGUGACCUCCCUCCGACCUCUUGCGGCCCGUCGCCGCCGCCCCGAGGCUCCUGGCCACCGCUGUGGCUGCUGCAACCUGCUGAACCCGAGUUCAGCCCGUGCGGGCUCGGGUUGCUCUAGCGCCGCCACAGUCGCCGCCUUCCGCCGCCGGCCAGUGUGAGCACCAUCUUACCCUGGUCGGCUGCACUUGGUUGCCGCCGAUGGCCUUGCCAUGAGAGCCCCCUGCCGGCCGGAUUAGAGCCGAGCUCUUCGUCAUUCCGUGUGGCUAGGGUAUCAGUGCCUGCCGCCGCCGCCUUCCGUCGCCAGCCGACACGCGCCCGGACUUCCCUCUGCCUGAUGCACCCGCCUACCGCCAGCUUGCCCCCUGCUGUGCCGCCGCCGCUGUGCCCUGGCUCCUUUGCCCGGUAAGCUUUUAUUAAGCUGUUUGUGCACUAUUUUGGUUUGCAAUCGCUGUUCCGACGACUUGGGGCUAUUCCAAUGCCUCCAUAGGUGAGCACGGUGAUCGUCGGUCAGUGCUGAUCACAGUGCUCACCUCAUUUUGGGUCAACGAGCCCCGAAUUGGUGAAUUAGAUGCGUUUUAGUUUCAGCGCGCAGGGUUCGUAGAUUUUCGAGUUGCUUCUGUGCUCUCCACAGUGGACGGUUGUGCUCCGGAUUGUGAACACGGCCUCCGGCACGUCGAGACCUGUUAGUACAUGUCUCGGUCGACCUCGAAAGCCCUCGGUUUGCUGUAACGACCCAUAAAAUCUGGUAAAUCACAUAAAAUAAUGUGAUUUUAGGGAAUAGUAAGGGCUUUUGUGCACUGUGGGCAGUACGUGUGGGCUGCGAGUGACCUCUGGACUGAUUGUCCAAGGUUUGAUGCCCUUCGCGGAAAUCGAGUAUCGAUUUCCAGUGCGUUUUUUGGCGAAAUUCGCCAACAGAACGCGGUUCGAUUCAGAUUUCUUCCGACAAUGCUAAAGUUAAGAUUUUGAAUUGGAAUUCAAAUAUUUGAUUUUGACUUUGAGAUUGAAUUUGAAUGCAUAACUCAAAUUUUGACAUAUAAUAUAUGUCGAUAUUUGAAAUAUUCGACUCUAAAUUCAAAUUUGAACUCAAAAUCUAAAUUCAAUUUAAAUUUAAAUUUGAAGUCUAAAUUUGAAUUUCUAAUUUGAAUUCAAUUUCUAAAAUACAUUCCAAAAUUUGAAUUCAAAAUCAAAAUUAGAAUUAGAAUUUGAAAGUUUGAAUUCUUAAUAUGAAUAUGAAAUUGGAAUUUAAAAUCUGGAGUUGAAUGUAAAAUUAAGUACAAAAUUUGAAUUGGAAUUCAAAAGUAAAUUAUAAUUUGAAAUUUGAAUCUAAAAUCAAAACUAAAAUUUUAAAUUCCAAUCGAAAAUCAAAUUUAAAUUUGAAAUUUAAAUUUAAAAUUUUAAUGUAAAUCUAAAGUUCAAAUCCAAGAUCUAAAUUUAUCUAUACAACUAUAUAAAUUAGUUAUCGAGUAGAUAUUUUUAAGUGUAUAAUAAUAUAAUUACUACCGACCAUCCCUAGCGCAAGUGACAAAGGACUUAGUAAUUGGUAUCCGAGAUCCCAAGUUUGAAUCUUAGUUGAUUCAUAUUUUCAGCUAAGUUUAUUUUUUAAAAAAUAAACGAAACGGAUAAUAUGCAACCUUUCUCACAAUAUAUAUAUAUAUAUAUAUAUAUAUAUAUAUAUAUAUAUAUAUAUAUAUAUGUAUACCAACAUGUGUCUAGUUCUUGUACUUUGGUAGCAUUUUAUCUCAAGUAAACUAUGUUUCGUACAUGACAUUUUUGUCAAUUAUGCUACUUUGUUNAUAUAUAUAUAUAUCGGGCGGAAAUGAUCAAAAGGUAGAUCUAACGGUAGAAAACUCAAUAGUACCAAUGGCUUGGUACUAUUGAUAGUAUAGUAGCCGGACUAUAUAUAUAUAUAUAGUGAGAAAGAGUUAGGCUGGAAUACUCUUAAGAGUAUCCAGCCCAUUUUGCUAUAGGGUUUCCAGCCAUUGGAUCCUAUUAAGAUUCGUGCAGAGAAAAGGGUGAAACGGACAGAGAACGGCGCCGUUACUGUGAAGUGAGAAAGGAAAAGGUUACUUUCCCUUCUCUGUCGGUCUCUCUCUCUCUUUCUCUCUUUCUCUCUCUCUCUUUCUUUCUCUCAUCUUCAUUCUCUCCUUCCCCUGUUCUCUGUUACUCUCUCAUCCCCACUCUCUUCGUCUCGAUCUCACCUCUUCUCGAUCUCACUUCGAUCUCACUCGGGGAGCGGUCGCACCGUAGCACCCAGCAGCCAAGCUUUUGGAGGAAGCUGCCUGCACCUUCGCAAUUUUUGGAGCAGGCCGAACCCACGCGUAAUUCCUCUCGAUCUCACCUCUUCUUUUUUUUUUCUUUUUUUUUUUGCAAAAAAAUAGGGAUUAGUUAUUUUAUGGGUUCUUGUAAUUAUAUGAUGUUUAGUUUUUUUUCUUGCAAAACUUUGAAGCCUUCAUAUAUUUUUAUCACUAGUUUCGUUUUCCGACUUCAGUCAUGCUUACUACUCUGCUACAUUCUAGUAAGGUUCAAAUGUUCUUAUACAUAAAAAUAGAUGUGUGGGAACUCUUUAUCUAAAGCACAGUAACCUCAUGUAUUACCCACCACAAGGCACAAGUAUUGCCUCAGAGUAUUGCAAAAAAAUAGAGAUUAGUAAUCUUAUGGGUUCUUGCAAUUAUACGAUGUUUGGUUUUUUUUCUUGCAAAGAAAUAGAGAAGUUUGUUAUAUUUAUGGGAUUUCUUUUUUCCACCCAAAAAAGAGAUUUGUGGGUUCUUAUUAAAAUUUUUCUUUUAUUAAUGUCAGUUUUUAUAAUGUUAUGUCAAUUUUUAUAAUGUCAGUUUUAUUUUUGAUGAGCUCUAUAAUGAGAUUUCACUUGUUAUAUUUUACCUUACUAAAAUUAUUAUGUAGUCAUUUAAAAAAUUUUACUUUUUAUAAAAUUAACAUAUGGAUAGUGGGGAUGUUUACUAUUCACAUGGCUCAGAUGAUUUUGAUGAUGUAUCUUCAAAUAGGCAAGAAACCGAAUCUCCAUUUGGUGGUAUGAGUUAUUCUCAAAAUAGAGAGGAUGUUGGAACUUUUCAAGUUGAUUCACAAAACAGAGAAUUAACUCCUUUAAUCCAGCAAGAUCAAGACACCCCAAAUAUAAUUGUUCAUGCUGCAGAAUCAUCAAUUAAUGAGCCACGCAUUGGAUUGGAGUUUAAAUGUGAGGAGAAAGCACGGAGAUUUUAUAAUAUCUAUGCAUAUAAAACUGGAUUUAGCAUACGGAAAGCUAGUCAUUACAAAGCAAAAAGGAAAAAUAAUAUGGUUACAUCGCAUUACUAUGUUUGCUCAAAAGAAGGACAUUACAAAUGUCACGCCCCGGGACCCAGCGGAAGCCCGCCCGGCGCGUGCCCAGACCCGCCAUAUGUCUACAACAUAUAAGGCGUCUAAAAACAACAAUAAUAAAGCCAUAAUAAAAGACAUCUAGGUGUAUCAGAGCGUAAUAAAUGUCUAAAUGCUACAACAAGAAAUAAGGAUGAAACUGUAAAUUCACUAAAUAAGACAUAAAGUAAAUACAAUAGGAAAUCCCAAAUACAAGUACUAAAAGUAGGUACAUAGGUGGUCUCUACACAUGGAUACAAAAUCUCUCACUCUCCCAACUACAAAAGAAAGAGCAAACCACCUAGGCAAAGAACCGCUCCUCGCUAGCUAGCUAAGCGAUCCCCUUGCCGCGAUCCCGUGCCUCCGCCGGUGCCGAAGGCUCUGAAAAGUAAACCAUAAAACAGGGGCGUGAGAACUAUUAAAAAUAGUUCCCAGUGGGCAAUUACUGACUUCAGUGAAUGCACCACAAGGCCCAAAGCUACAAAAAGAGGUCAGUGACUAACAAUGUAGUAAAGCGACAGGUAAGUAAAAUGUAACUCACUAUAACAUAGAAUUUCUACUUAGUAUAAUUUGCACAAGUAAUGAAGCAACGAUAUCAUGAAUGUACAUGGAUGUGUAUGACAUGCAUCAGCAUAGAAAUGCAACCAAUCCGAUGUCCUCAAUGCAAAAAUAGUAAAGAUGUCAUUGUUUACUAUUCUAGUCCAAGUCCACUUUAAUAGUUUUAAAGUUCACAUAGCAUGUUCUGUCACUAAGUCCCAAUCAUAUAAGACCCACCCGAAGGCUGUCUGGCCUGCGCCGUGCCUAAUGGCCCCGUGGUAGUCAACAUCCCCACUCUAGGGAUGAGCCUCCCCCACGGCGAUCCACUUCGGCGCCCAAUCCCGCACGGCGAGCAUGUGUCGCGAUGGCUAUCUCCGGAGUGCCGGCUUGUAGGGAGCGACCCUCACAAGCAUGUGCGAAUGAGCACAAAUGGCAAGCAAGCAAUGAUCUGUCUCAAGUACCAAGUCCUCAUGUCUAAAACAUGGAAUAUGUCAAGUACCACGAUGGCCUAUCUCUAUGUCGUCAUGUCUCUAACAUGGAAUAUAGCAGAUACGUAAUGGCCUAUCAAUAUGUCUCUAUGUUGCAGUUUAAAUGUUUACUAGUUCCAAGUGCCUCUUGAUGACCCUUUUUGCUACUAAGUUCAAACAUAGUAUAAUGUUUCCCAUACAUGAACAUAAGCUAAAUUAGCAUACUAGACGAGAAUCCCAUUCGUCCACAUGAACCCACCCCACAUGCAUGACAAUAACCUUGAUUACUCUACCAUCUAGAGUGAAAUUUAACUUACACAUAGGGCAUGCAUUUUAGGGGUUCUAAAUUUCACAUAAAUUCCAAUUAGCAUAGGAAAGCAUUUAAAAAUAAGUUACGAAUAGUUUAGAAUGCACAGGGGCCAUUUCGCCCCAUUUCCAUGAAGUCAAACCCACCGAUGACGACGAAACUCCUCGUUCGCUCCAACGAGGGUGUCCCCUAGUCUCCUAGUAUCCUAGAGGUAUAGAAACAUGUGUCAAACAAGGCUCACGAACAAAGCUAAGCUCAAACAUUAAGCUUCUCUAGCUAGGUUGGAGAAAACUCACCGAAAGCUAAAGAAUCUCUCUCGAUCUCAAAAAGGGAGUUAGAUUCCUUCAAAUCCAACCUAAAUCAAAGUUCUAAACCAAUCAAUUUGGUUCUAGAAGCUACAAAUCAAAAAUCCCCAUUUUUAGCCCUAAAACUCAAAAUCUAGGGUUUCAUCUAGUAGAAGAUAUUAAAACUUGAUCCAAAAGGGAGAUUUAGCUUACUAACCUCACAAGAUGCCCAAAACCAAGCUCCAAGCCAAGUGGAGUUGAAGUUUGAUCCUCCAACAAGCUCCAACCAAGAUCUCAACCUUCUCCAAUGGUGGAAAUCCUAAAAAAAAGCAAGAAGGAGAAAAAAAGAGAGAUCAAAACCACUAAAAACCCACCAAAAAAGGAGAUCAAACCAAGAGGGGAAGACUCACCUUGCUCUCCUCUGGUUAGGGCUCAAAAAGAGCAGCAAAGGGGCUGGGGUAACUUAUAAAGAGUAUUGCAACAAUUGCAAAAAGACCCCUCCACGAAAUCUGCCCAGAGGCAUUGUGUACCGGUACACGGGAAAGUGUACCGGUACACUUCCUGCGAAACAGCCCAACCCGAGCCUCGGUUUGACAGAAAAUCUAUUGUGUACCGGUACAACCAUCAAGGCGUACCGGUACAAAUUCUGUACCGGUACGACCAUCAAGGCUGUACCGGUACAAAUUCUGUACCGGUACGACUAUCAAGGCUGUACCAGUACACAGCCUGGCUGAGGCUAAUCCGAGAGUACUCCAACAAUCCACCCUUUUGGGAUUUUGGUACGGGUUUAAACCCUCGAUUCUCGGGGUGCGAGCCAUAGGUCGGAACACUGUCUACGACCCUUCAGAAAGUCUGGAAUAGCUCGGCACACAGAUCAAACACUCGAACCUCGCGAUUUGCAUAGGUCCAGUGUGUUACAUUCACCCCUCCUAAAAAGGAGUUUCGUCCGCGAAACUCGAAAGUCAAAGCAUACCUCAUGGCUCCAUCUGAAAAAGAUGGGGAUAGCGCUCCUGCAGCGCACUCUCUAGCUCCCACGUGGCCUCCUGCUCCCCGUGGUUGCUCCAAAGGACCUUCACAUACGGAAUAUCCCGAUUCCGCAGCUUCUUUACUUCGCGAGCCAAAAUCUUCAUUGGUUCCUCCUCGAAGCUCAAAUCCUCGCGCAGUUCCACUGGUACGGCUUCCAAAACAUGAGCUGGAUCAUGAAUGUACCUCCGAAGGACCGAUACGUGAAAGGCGUUGUGCACGCCCGAUAGGUUCGGUGGUAAAGCAAGUCGAUACGCUACCGGACCUACACGCUCCAAGAUCUCAUACGGUCCAAUGAAACGGGAGCUCAACUUUCCCCGAAUCCCGAAUCUCUUGAUUCCUCUAGUUGGCGAGACCUUUAAGAAAACAUGGUCUCCAACUUGGAACUCCAAGUCUCGCCGUCGUCGAUCGGCGUAGCUCCUCUGUCUACUCUGCGCCGCCAAAAGUAGCUCUCGAGCAAUUCGAACCUUGUCCUCAGCUUCCUGGAGCACAUCAGGGCCUAAAGCCAAUCUCUCACCGACUUCACUCCAAUGAAGUGGCGAUCUACACUUCCGUCCAUAAAGUGCUUCGAAGGGCGCCAUCUUGAUGCUUGCUUGAUAACUGUUGUUAUAAGCAAACUCCGCCAUAGGUAGAUACUGCGACCAUCCUCCCUGGAAGUCUAUCACACAUGCCCGGAGCAUAUCCUCUAAGGUCUGUAUAGUGCGCUCCGACCGUCCAUCGCUCUGCGGGUGGAAUGCUGUACUGAAAUCCAAUCGGGUGCCUAAGGCGUCCUGUAGACUCCUCCAAAAGUAAGACACAAACCGAGUGUCCCGAUCAGAUACAAUCGAUGUAGGCACUCCAUGAAGCCACACAAUCUCAUCAAGGUACACUUGUGCGAGCUUCUCUCCGGUCCAAGUCGUAUGAAUAGGUAUGAAGUGCGCCGACUUCGUCAACCUAUCCACGAUCACCCAAAUAACAUCGUGCCCUGCUUGAGAGCGAGGCAACCCUGUCACAAAGUCCAUGGUGAUCUUCUCCCACUUCCACACUGGAAUAGGCAAACUCUGAAGCUUCCCCGCGGGAACUCGGUACUCUGCCUUCACUUGUUGGCAAGUUAAGCAUUUAGCGACGAACUCGCCAACAUCCUUUUUCAUCCCAGGCCACCAAUAGAGCAACUUUAAGUCCUUAUACAUCUUGGUGCCACCCGGAUGUAUAGCAUAGGGCGCCCGGUGCGCUUCUUGAAGAAUAUCCUCUUUAAUUCUUGAGUCCGCCGGAACACAUAGCCGUCCACGGAAUCGCAUCAAUCCCUGAUCAUCCAAAAGGAAGUCGCCGAUGCAACCCUCAACCAUUUUACCUCGAAUCUUUUGCAACUCCACAUCGGAAGCUUGCUUUUCUUUAAUUCUAUCCAAAAGGGUAGGUUGCACUACCAUAGUCAUCAACCUCAAGGGUGUGUCGGGGGUGACUACCUCCAACUCCAACCGCUUCAUCUGCUCGAUCAACUGCGGUUGAGUCACAACAUGCAUCGCCAAGUUUUCCAUCGUUUUCCUACUUAGCGCAUCCGCUACCACGUUAGCCUUACCCGGGUGGUAAAGAAUCGUCAGAUCAUAAUCCUUGAGCAGCUCCAACCAUCUGCGCUGUCUCAGGUUCAACUCCUUCUGAGUAAACAGGUAUUUNNNNNNNNNNNNNNNNNNNNNNNNNNNNNNNNNNNNNNNNNNNNNNNNNNNNNNNNNNNNNNNNNNNNNNNNNNNNNNNNNNNNNNNNNNNNNNNNNNNNUGUCGGGAUCCAUGCCGCCUCAACUGCCGGAAUCGCCUGCCACGUGCCGAACCUACACAAACCUCAUCACGGGUGCACUGCAAGCCUCACAAACGCCAAGCCCUCGCCUACCCGGCAAGGUGUGCUACGAGCACAAGGGAUACCCCGGGAGGCCGCAAGCCUAUCCGAUCCAAAGGCAGGAGACACAAGCUUGAGUAACAUAUAUUUACUUUCCCUGCGCCUCCUAGUUUUGUUUUAUUCCAGUUGCAUAGGGUUGCAAUAACUUAGACUCUAUCCUCUGCAUAAUUAGUCUUUACAUUCACAAACGAUUUCUUACCUAUUGGGUCGUAUUAAUUAAUUUAGUAAAAGUGAGGCCUCUUGGCUCAUGCCAUAAUGAUUAAAUUGAGAUGACGUAGUGGAUUGCGGAAGCGUUAAACAUCAUUGGUGGUGACUUGAAACAUGAGUUUAUGUAUAAAGAUUAAGAAACAGGAGAAAAAAGAUCUAAUGAAAGUGAAAUAUGAAGCUUUUUUAUCAAAAAUUUCUUGUAUGUAUCCCUAUAAAUAUCAUUCGCACCUAAGAAAUAUUCUUGGUUGGUACUUUUACUAAAACAAGAUAUCUCUAGCAUUUCUUUUUUAUUUAGUAUUAUUUCUAAAAUCGUAGAUUUGCCCUUAAGUUUUUUGUCUAAUAUAUGCUGAGCUAGUUCAUCACUUUAGUGUUAUUUAGUUCUAUAUAAGCUUCUAUUCUGUCAAUUUACUAUUUACAAGUAGUAUUAGAACGCUGAAUAAUAGUUUAAAUUUUAGGAAUACAAUCAUUCCUAAUCAACACUAUUAGCCAUUGUAUUGGUCAACAAGCUCAUUGGUAAAGUUACCAAAGUGAAAUGAAUAGAAUUUUCUUGAAAUUUUACAGUACGGAGAGCAACAUCCUUCUUGGUUGAAAACUUCUUAUUUGGCAUAUUUUUCUGAUUUUUCUUCAAUUCUACAUAUUUGUUUACCCUCUUUUGACAUAGGAAGUCAUAACAUUUCUUAUUUUUUAAUUUGCAAAUAAACUAUUGAUCUUUCUAUCAAUUCUUUUCUUUAUUAAUUGGUUAUAGAUGAAGUCCAUUUCAUAAUUGUUCGAUAUCAUCAUUUUAUGAUUAUGGUUUUCUAACUGAUUUGUUAUUUUUUUAAAUAUAAUUUGCAAUAGUUUGGCGAAGUAAGUUGUUAAUUUUAAAAUUGCUAUGUGUUUCGAAUAGUAAGCAGCUAUUAGUGUCUAUUCUAUCUAAAUAGUCUAUUAUUUUUAUGGAUUUUUGAGUUGGGGCUCAAUUUCUAAUGCUAAUUGUUUCUUUUCUACCCUAAUCCUUAUAGUUGAGCGCUGAAGUUUUGUCCUUAUUUAUCUCUUUUAAAACAUAUUGUAUUUGUCAUAAACAAAACACUAAACACCCAAAAAAAUCUUACAGAUUGUGAAUAUAAUGGACAAAAAGUUGGUAAAAAGUCCAGACUAUGAUAUUGCUUACAUUGAUGGAUUGUCUAGAAAUUUAUUAAAUUUGCCUAUGGAGAAUCAUCCAUAAAUGGCAAGUUCUAUGCCCAUGAUCGAUAAGUGUUACACAAAUUCUUCUUUAUACACAAGUUGUUGAAGAACAUUUAGUGAUUGGAAUCGGGUUUUUUAUUAGGUUAAUGUUUGGGUAUUUCAUGGAGAGUCAUUUGUCACAUCCCAAAUGAAAUCGAAUUUACUCAUUUGCUGCCAACGAUCUCGUAAUGCACAAGAAAGAUUAGUUCCAAGACAAGAUGGUCUAGAGGGAUUGCUGCAAUUGUUUUUGGAAUUAUUGGGCACCUAAUUUGAAAAUAAUGACAAGUAAUGAUGAGACUAUUUUUAAUUUAGUUUAGAAGAAUGUAAUUGACGCAGGCGUAUCUAUGGAUUCUCGGCGAGCAAAAUUUUAUGAACGGUCGAUGCAUUAUACACCUAAGGAACAAUCGAUAUAGUAACUUGUCCGUGAAAGAUUGUGAUAAAGACAAAGGAAAUUAUAUCCAGGUUGUAAAACUUCAAGAUAUCGUUCAUUCUUCACUUAUUCACCUACAAAUGCUUAAACGGGUGGUCCGGAAAAUCCUUUACAAUGAUUGCCUCCAAUUAUUAAAAAUUCAUUUCCUGAGGCAACUCUUUGCCAUCCCCCCAUCUUAUUAUGAAGCUAAAAGCGAUAAAAGAAUUGGGUCUUUGGAUAUGAGAGAUUCAUAUUUGCGACCUAAUGAUUGUAUGUUAUAUUGGGGUGAGACGAAUAAUCAGAGUAUUGUAAUGAGUGUGGAUCUUCACGGUGGACAAGUGAAUAAAGAUGAUACUUGGUUGUUCUUGAUGAUUUGAAAGGAGAAAAAGCCGCGUCAAUGAUAUUACGCUAUUUUCCUUUGAUGACACAAGAUUAAAAGAAUUUAUAUGUCUCUAAAAUUGUUUCGUUAAUGAGAUGCAUGUGGAAGUCGCAUUCAAAGAUGGAAUCUUGAGACCACCAGACGAUGGCCCUUGCAUGGAAAAUCGUUUGAUGAUCUUAUCAUGAUUUUUUCUUCCGAUCCUGUAAGUGUAUAGACUUUGGUCCUUGCUAUCGGACGGAUUCAAUUCUUUUCGAACAAUCAGUAUACUUAUGCACUUGGCGGUGACUAUUCAUUCCUUAUUAAUUUACCUCAGGGAUUAAUUGCAUGAAAAUCGUCUUCAUUUUAUCACAAUGGUCAUUACGGCUGAAAAAGGUCCAGCGGUAAUGAUAUUGAAUAAUUAUUUGCACCUUUCAAUAGCGGCAGUUAAAACACUUUGGUAUGGUGUGAUGGCUUUGAUGCUUCUAUAAGCAAAAUUUGUUCACUGAAAUGAGGGUCUCUUUAUGAUGGACAUUAAUUGAUUUUCCCUGCCUAUGCUAAUUCUAUCUGGUUGGAGCACAAAGGGACGUGUUUUAGCCCUUGUGUGGGUUUUCAACGAUAAUCACGUUGGUUGAACAAUAGUAAGAAUUCUGUAUAUAUGGGCCAUCUGAUCGGAUGGUUGAACCAAAUCAUCCUUUCGAUAUCACAAAAUUAUUUGAUGGCACUCAUAGAGUGCGUUCCGCUCCAAUAUCACAUCUGACAUUGAAUGUCCUAACCGGCACACUACAGGGCAUAACCUUCAUAAAUUAUGGCAAAGGCCUUCAAAAUAACUCAAAAAAGGAUAAGAGGGAAACGUUGAUAGUUCUUUAUGCAAAUCAAGCAUUGAUGACGUUGCACUACAAAUCAAGUAGAGUGUUAGAGAUACCGAAUGAGUUCAUGGACAGAUGAGCCAUGGAUUUCAUGAAGUUGGUCAGAUUGAUUAGUGAUAACAUUAGAUGCAUCACACAAAUGAUGUAGGUGGAAAAAUUGUGGUAAGGAAAAAAGCAUCUUUUUGAACUGCAUAUUGGAAGUACAAUCCUAUUCGACAUAAUUUAGAUGUUAUGCAUAUACAGAAGAAUGUAUUGCGAAUAAACUUUAAUUGGAACCUUUCAUUUUUUGAAUAAUGCAAUGGUAGGAACUAAGACAAUUUGAUAUAUGCACGCGAUUGGCACCUAAUAGAUAUGGGCAUACGACAUGAUCUACAUCCCAAGUUGCAAUCGCAACAACAAAACUAUAAUACCUCAUGCAAUUACACUAAUGUCACACAAGACAAAGGUAAACUUUCUGACGGUUUGAAAAAUAUUAAAGUUCGGAUGGAAUAUGCAUCGACAUACGCAAGAUGUGUGAAAUCAUAAAGAACGAACACUUUCAACCAUCAAGAGUCAAUGAUGGGCACAUAUUUUAUGCAGGCUAUUCUUACCAUAAUAGCAUUUGAGCAGCAUCUAUGCCAAAACAGAUUAUCACAAUUGUUUCGGGAACUAUCAUUAAUAUUUUCAAAUCAAUAUGCUUUUCCAGCAAUCUCUUGAUCCAAAAGUCCUUGAUCAGUGGAACUCAAGUGCUUGCAAUUAACACUAUCCACAUAGAGAACAAUAUUCCUCCCAGUUUUUUUCACUUGUCAAUGUUUACUCAUUAUUCACUUAAGAUCGC